rnacentral:rRNA from 1 species
GAUGAACGCUGGCGGCGUGCCUAACACAUGCAAGUCGAGCGAUUUACUUCGGUAAAGAGCGGCGGACGGGUGAGUAACGCGUGGGUAACCUGCCCUGUACACACGGAUAACAUACCGAAAGGUAUGCUAAUACGAGAUAAUAUGCUUUUAUUGCGUGGUAGGAGUAUCAAAGCUUUUGCGGUACAGGAUGGACCCGCGUCUGAUUAGCUAGUUGGUAAGGUAACGGCUUACCAAGGCGACGAUCAGUAGCCGACCUGAGAGGGUGAUCGGCCACAUUGGAACUGAGACACGGUCCAAACUCCUACGGGAGGCAGCAGUGGGGAAUAUUGCACAAUGGGCGAAAGCCUGAUGCAGCAACGCCGCGUGAGCGAUGAAGGCCUUCGGGUCGUAAAGCUCUGUCCUCAAGGAAGAUAAUGACGGUACUUGAGGAGGAAGCCCCGGCUAACUACGUGCCAGCCGCCGCGGUAA